UCCUAUUUUCUCAGAGACCACAUAAAGCCAUCUCCUUGAUGCACUUGAUCUCCACUGGUCCUGAAGAAGGUGUUUUCCUGUGAAGCUGAUGCGAGCAUCUCCUACAAAAGUGUAUUUCACAGCUGUCCCAAUCUCAUGGUAUCUGUCAUAACAAAAUCCUGUUUGCCUCUGCUUAAAAAGGAACAAGUAGUACAUUAAGAAGCUGCAAGAGAGGAGGCUGAGAUGGUAUGGACAUGUCCGAAGGAUGGAAGAAGGGAUUCCUGCUAUGAGGCAUUUGAGACUAGAAGUCAUGGUGGAGAACAAAAGGCUGUCCAGUCAAAUGGGAAAUAGUACAGGAGGAUGGAAUGGAUAUGGACCGAGCGUU